CUACGUCCUCCUCCUCCUACAUCUACAGCGACGCCGCUAGGGUUGGGUGUCCCUUCUUCUUGUCCUCUACGACCUUGGGUUGCAAGGAGCCAACCCGGGGAGGACUCGAGGCUCAGUGGCGUUCCUUACGGCCGUCCGGGAUCCCCUCUCCUUCUUCUUUUAAUCCAUCUGGAGAUGAGAUCCACAUCUAAUUUUAUAGAAAUCACGGUUCGAGCUGCUCUGGAAAGGUCUCAACUCAGCUGCGCUUCUUCCUUGCUCAGGCGUUUGUUGAUUUCUCUGAAUAUUGGUUGGACAUUGCCCAUGUAGCACUCACCCAAGUGUGUACUAUGCUAAUAUCUACCACGACAUGACGGGCGGGAGUCCCGGAAGAGGGUGACGGAUGGCCACAGUAGCUCGCAGCAGGACGACGAUGCAUGAGGGCGCACGGAGCAGGGUGGCGCUCGCCUUGAGGAGCUCGUCCAUGAUCCAAUACCCAGACGAUGGAAAGGUCUAUGCAUGGUGAGCUGCUAAAAAAAGGAUUGGUUCCCCUAUGGUGAUGUUGAUCACUUCCUCUGAAUGAUGUUGAUAUAGGUCUUUUUGGUCAUGUCGAACCCUUCUGUUGGAUAUGGAGGACGACAAGCAACUAUCUUCUUGGCCUUCUUGUGGUUUAUUGAAUAGCAGCGUCACUGCAUCGAGUGACCGCCAUUACCUCCGUCAUGAACUUGGAUUGGCAGCUGGUCAUACUCUAUUUGAGUUCAAAUAUUCUGCUUAUGAUGCAGUGAGAUAAUAUGCCAGGUACCCUUCCUGUCGCCGCUGCGCCAGAAUGACACUACCUCCACCAAGCAGCAAGUCAUGCAUGUGCGUGCAGUUCACACGCAAGAAAUUCCAACCAGUGAGUAUGAAGCUUUAGAUUUCAGACACCCAGUUGCUACUACUAUCUAGAGGUUUUGCAUAUGCAUGCAGUUCACAUGCAAGAAAUUCCAACCGGCAGUACCUGGAAGUGUUCUGGCAGCUGUGAAUCGACUGUGAGGUCUUCCUUAGGUACCCCUGCAUUACUACCUUAUCAAUUGGUGUUAGGUCAUGUUCAGAAACUCUCUGAGCCACUACAGUUUGGUUAUCCAGGAGAUUCACAGACAUCGACAACAACCAUCUGUAGUUUAGGAUCGACUUCUUCCUCUCCUCCUAGGAAUGGCUCUCUCUGUUUGGUGGAAUAGGAAGGGAGCAAGUAGGAAACUGUGAAAAUAAUUCAGGUCUGAUCCUCCACAUCAAGCACCAGGCAACAAGGUCACGAGGAUCCUACUACAGAACUAUUCAUGUCCCUGAUACGCUAAUGGUAACUAUUAGUUCUCCAUGUAACUGUACCAUCUGCUAGCAUCUCCCUGGACCUUGUGACGAUAGAAAUCUCCACCGUCCCCACCAUGAGGGCAUCAAGCAAUCAACUCAGGUCACC